rnacentral:rRNA from 1 species
GAUGAACGCUGGCGGCGUGCUUAACACAUGCAAGUCGAACGGAAAGGCCAGUGCUUGCACUGGUACUCGAGUGGCGAACGGGUGGGUAACACGUGGGUGAUCUGCCCUGUACUUCGGGAUAAGCUUGGGAAACUGGGUCUAAUACCGGAUAGGACAACUUUUUGGAUAUUGUUGUGGAAAGCUUUUGCGGUAUGGGAUGAGCUCGCGGCCUAUCAGCUUGUUGGUGGGGUAAUGGCCUACCAAGGCGUCGACGGGUAGCCGGCCUGAGAGGGUGUACGGCCACAUUGGGACUGAGAUACGGCCCAGACUCCUACGGGAGGCAGCAGUGGGGAAUAUUGCACAAUGGGCGCAAGCCUGAUGCAGCGACGCCGCGUGGGGGAUGAAGGCCUUCGGGUUGUAAACUCCUUUCGCUAGGGACGAAGCUUUUUUGUGACGGUACCUGGAGAAGAAGCACCGGCUAACUACGUG